GCACGGGGUCCUUCGAGUGCUGUGGACCAGGUGGCGCUGUCAUGGAAACAAUCCCAGUGGUGGCGUGGGACGUGGGUAGUGUUUUGAGAUCCCCGGAGAGACCAAGGAGAGCGUGGACACGUGUGUCGUGGGAAACUGGACUACCCUACAUGAAGAUUGUGUUGCCAUGGAACGAACAGCAGCGGUCUCUAGGGAAGAACUCCGUACAGUGGC